rnacentral:rRNA from 1 species
ACGCGAACGCCCCUUCGGAGUNNNNGACGGGUGAGUAACGCGUGGGAACGUGCCCUUUGGUACGGAACAACUGAGGGAAACUUCAGCUAAUACCGUAUGUGCCCCCAUUCUUAGCGGGAUGGGUGGGAAAGAUUUAUCGCCAUUGGAGCGGCCCGCGUUAGAUUAGCUAGUUGGUAGGGUAAUGGCCUACCAAGGCGACGAUCUAUAGCUGGUCUGAGAGGAUGAUCAGCCACACUGGGACUGAGACACGGCCCAGACUCCUAC